GACGAACGCUGGCGGCGUGCUUAACACAUGCAAGUCGAACGGAAAGGCCCUGCUUGCAGGGUACUCGAGUGGCGAACGGGUGAGUAACACGUGGGUGAUCUGCCCUGCACUUCGGGAUAAGCCUGGGAAACUGGGUCUAAUACCGGAUAGGAGCCAUUUUUAGUGUGAUGGUUGGAAAGUUUUUUCGGUGUAGGGUGAGCUCGCGGCCUAUCAGCUUGUUGGUGGGGUAAUGGCCUACCAAGGCGGCGACGGGUAGCCGGCCUGAGAGGGUGGACGGCUACAUUGGGACUGAGAUACGGCCCAGACUCCUACGGGAGGCAGCAGUGGGGAAGAUUGCACAAUGGGCGCAAGCCGGAUGCAGAGACGCCGCGUGGGGGAUGACGGCCUUCGGGUUGUAAACUCCUUUCGCUAGGGACGAAGCUUUUUGUGACGGUACCUAGAUAAGAAGCACCGGCUAACUACGUG
rnacentral:rRNA from 1 species